CAGCUCCGGCCCCGGACGGACUCCCGAGAGCCUCCGGAAGCAGAGCGUGCGCUGAUUGGCCGGCGGGGCGGGGAGGCUGUUUGAAAUAGGGCAGUGCGCGCUGAGUCGCGGGGUGCGAAGGGCCGCGGGUUCGAAUCCAGCGGCAGCCGGGAGGGAACCUCGGUAUUUUUUCUUGUCUGCACGAAGUUCUGUUCUGCUGCUAACAGAUGAGACCUCUCCAAUGGUUUAUGCCAUAAAACUUAGGACUGCGGUGAUUCCAGUUCUUGGCAGUAUUGCAGUUUGGGACUCAACUUUCUUCCUCCAUUCCAAGCAAAGUACUCACAUUUGUGUUUGCUGAUUUAUUUAUUUAUUGCUCAAAUGCUUUUCUGUAACAGCAAUUUCAACAUACGCGUUUGUCUCUUACAUGUGGGGGUUAAGGGCCCUCCCAGCACCUGAUUUUAGAAGGUUUUCGUCUUUGCCUGGGAAAUACCUGCUAUCAAAGCUGCUGCGCACAGCAAAAAUAAGGAUGGAAG
ensembl:lncRNA